GAGUUUGAUCAUGGCUCAGGAUGAACGCUGGCGGCGUGCCUAAUACAUGCAAGUCGAGCGAACAGACGAGGAGCUUGCUCCUCUGACGUUAGCGGCGGACGGGUGAGUAACACGUGGAUAACCUACCUAUAAGACUGGGAUAACUUCGGGAAACCGGAGCUAAUACCGAAUAAUAUAUUGAACCGCAUGGUUCAAUAGUGAAAAACGGUUUUGCUGUCACUUAUAGAUGGAUCCGCGCCGCAUUAGCUAGUUGGUAGGGUAACGGCUUACCAAGGCGACGAUGCGUAGCCGACCUGAGAGGGUGAUCGGCCACACUGGAACUGAGACACGGUCCAGACUCCUACGGGAGGCAGCAGUAGGGAAUCUUCCGCAAUGGGCGAAAGCCUGACGGAGCAACGCCGCGUGAGUGAUGAAGGUCUUCGGAUCGUAAAACUCUGUUAUUAGGGAAGAACAAUGUGUAAGUAACUAUGCACGUCUUGACGGUACCUAAUCAGAAAGCCACGGCUAACUACGUGCCAG
rnacentral:rRNA from 1 species